GUCGCGAAGCUCAUCGAAAACAAAAUUGUCAACAACAAUAUCGCAACAAUAUUUACUGUUUCGUGGAUUUUUUCCUAUUUUGAGAUCGUUCUGUUCUCUGAAGAUCUCCGGAAAAGCGGUCCCGGAACGAGUGACUGGAAUAGAACGGCACAAUCAAGCAACAGAUUUUCCAGAAGUGCUUGUAUCAAACCUGAAAACAGCUUGCUUCAUGCCUUUCCCAAGGUUGGUUCUGGCCUUCGGGCAUAAAAUGGAUUGUUGCUUUUACGUGCGAAGAAACAUCCAAAGAACCUCACGGAAUGGAAGAUCGGUUUCUGGUAAUUAUGAUCAUGAAAACAUCUAUGGCGGCGCAUUAUUUAUCAAUGUCUGCAAUACUCCACCGACGAGCAACCUUGAGGGUAUUUUACGGCGCUGUUAUACAUUGUAAAGGUUAUUUAAAACGCGAUUUAAAAUCAUGAAAUAAAACAUUAAGAACA